UGUGAAGACGAGCAGUUUGCAUAAGUGGA
rnacentral:piRNA from 1 species